rnacentral:rRNA from 1 species
UGGGGAAUCUUGCACAAUGGGGGCAACCCUGAUGCAGCGACGCCGCGUGAGCGAUGAAGCCCUUCGGGGCGUAAAGCUCUUUCGACCGGAACGAUAAUGACGGUACCGGGAGAAGAAGCUGCGGCUAACUUCGUGCCAGCAGCCGCGGUAAUACGAAGGGGGCUAGCGUUGUUCGGAAUUACUGGGCGUAAAGCGCACGUAGGCGGCUUUCCAAGUUGGAGGUGAAAUCCCCGGGCUUAACCCGGGAACUGCCUCCAAAACUGAAAGGCUAGAGUCCGAGAGAGGUGAGUGGAAUUUCCAGUGUAGAGGUGAAAUUCGUAGAUAUUGGAAAGAACACCAGUGGCGAAGGCGGCUCACUGGCUCGGUACUGACGCUGAGGUGCGACAGCGUGGGGAGCAAACA